UUAAGCGACUAAGCGUACACGGUGGAUGCCCUGGCAGUCAGAGGCGAUGAAGGACGUGCUAAUCUGCGAUAAGCGUCGGUAAGGUGAUAUGAACCGUUAUAACCGGCGAUUUCCGAAUGGGGAAACCCAGUGUGAUUCGUCACACUAUCAUUAACUGAAUCCAUAGGUUAAUGAGGCGAACCGGGGGAACUGAAACAUCUAAGUACCCCGAGGAAAAGAAAUCAACCGAGAUUCCCCCAGUAGCGGCGAGCGAACGGGGAGCAGCCCAGAGCCUGAAUCAGUGUGUGUGUUAGUGGAAGCGUCUGGAAAGGCGCGCGAUACAGGGUGACAGCCCCGUACACAAAAAUGCACAUACUGUGAGCUCGAUGAGUAGGGCGGGACACGUGGUAUCCUGUCUGAAUAUGGGGGGACCAUCCUCCAAGGCUAAAUACUCCUGACUGACCGAUAGUGAACCAGUACCGUGAGGGAAAGGCGAAAAGAACCCCGGCGAGGGGAGUGAAAAAGAACCUGAAACCGUGUACGUACAAGCAGUGGGAGCACAGAGCAAUCUGUGUGACUGCGUACCUUUUGUAUAAUGGGUCAGCGACUUAUAUUCUGUAGCAAGGUUAACCGAAUAGGGGAGCCGAAGGGAAACCGAGUCUUAACUGGGCGUUAAGUUGCAGGGUAUAGACCCGAAACCCGGUGAUCUAGCCAUGGGCAGGUUGAAGGUUGGGUAACACUAACUGGAGGACCGAACCGACUAAUGUUGAAAAAUUAGCGGAUGACUUGUGGCUGGGGGUGAAAGGCCAAUCAAACCGGGAGAUAGCUGGUUCUCCCCGAAAGCUAUUUAGGUAGCGCCUCGUGAAUUCAUCUCCGGGGGUAGAGCACUGUUUCGGCAAGGGGGUCAUCCCGACUUACCAACCCGAUGCAAACUGCGAAUACCGGAGAAUGUUAUCACGGGAGACACACGGCGGGUGCUAACGUCCGUCGUGAAGAGGGAAACAACCCAGACCGCCAGCUAAGGUCCCAAAGUCAUGGUUAAGUGGGAAACGAUGUGGGAAGGCCCAGACAGCCAGGAUGUUGGCUUAGAAGCAGCCAUCAUUUAAAGAAAGCGUAAUAGCUCACUGGUCGAGUCGGCCUGCGCGGAAGAUGUAACGGGGCUAAACCAUGCACCGAAGCUGCGGCAGCGACGCUUAUGCGUUGUUGGGUAGGGGAGCGUUCUGUAAGCCUGCGAAGGUGUGCUGUGAGGCAUGCUGGAGGUAUCAGAAGUGCGAAUGCUGACAUAAGUAACGAUAAAGCGGGUGAAAAGCCCGCUCGCCGGAAGACCAAGGGUUCCUGUCCAACGUUAAUCGGGGCAGGGUGAGUCGACCCCUAAGGCGAGGCCGAAAGGCGUAGUCGAUGGGAAACAGGUUAAUAUUCCUGUACUUGGUGUUACUGCGAAGGGGGGACGGAGAAGGCUAUGUUGGCCGGGCGACGGUUGUCCCGGUUUAAGCGUGUAGGCUGGUUUUCCAGGCAAAUCCGGAAAAUCAAGGCUGAGGCGUGAUGACGAGGCACUACGGUGCUGAAGCAACAAAUGCCCUGCUUCCAGGAAAAGCCUCUAAGCAUCAGGUAACAUCAAAUCGUACCCCAAACCGACACAGGUGGUCAGGUAGAGAAUACCAAGGCGCUUGAGAGAACUCGGGUGAAGGAACUAGGCAAAAUGGUGCCGUAACUUCGGGAGAAGGCACGCUGAUAUGUAGGUGAAGUCCCUCGCGGAUGGAGCUGAAAUCAGUCGAAGAUACCAGCUGGCUGCAACUGUUUAUUAAAAACACAGCACUGUGCAAACACGAAAGUGGACGUAUACGGUGUGACGCCUGCCCGGUGCCGGAAGGUUAAUUGAUGGGGUUAGCGCAAGCGAAGCUCUUGAUCGAAGCCCCGGUAAACGGCGGCCGUAACUAUAACGGUCCUAAGGUAGCGAAAUUCCUUGUCGGGUAAGUUCCGACCUGCACGAAUGGCGUAAUGAUGGCCAGGCUGUCUCCACCCGAGACUCAGUGAAAUUGAACUCGCUGUGAAGAUGCAGUGUACCCGCGGCAAGACGGAAAGACCCCGUGAACCUUUACUAUAGCUUGACACUGAACAUUGAGCCUUGAUGUGUAGGAUAGGUGGGAGGCUUUGAAGUGUGGACGCCAGUCUGCAUGGAGCCGACCUUGAAAUACCACCCUUUAAUGUUUGAUGUUCUAACGUUGACCCGUAAUCCGGGUUGCGGACAGUGUCUGGUGGGUAGUUUGACUGGGGCGGUCUCCUCCUAAAGAGUAACGGAGGAGCACGAAGGUUGGCUAAUCCUGGUCGGACAUCAGGAGGUUAGUGCAAUGGCAUAAGCCAGCUUGACUGCGAGCGUGACGGCGCGAGCAGGUGCGAAAGCAGGUCAUAGUGAUCCGGUGGUUCUGAAUGGAAGGGCCAUCGCUCAACGGAUAAAAGGUACUCCGGGGAUAACAGGCUGAUACCGCCCAAGAGUUCAUAUCGACGGCGGUGUUUGGCACCUCGAUGUCGGCUCAUCACAUCCUGGGGCUGAAGUAGGUCCCAAGGGUAUGGCUGUUCGCCAUUUAAAGUGGUACGCGAGCUGGGUUUAGAACGUCGUGAGACAGUUCGGUCCCUAUCUGCCGUGGGCGCUGGAGAAUUGAGGGGGGCUGCUCCUAGUACGAGAGGACCGGAGUGGACGCAUCACUGGUGUUCGGGUUGUCAUGCCAAUGGCACUGCCCGGUAGCUAAAUGCGGAAGAGAUAAGUGCUGAAAGCAUCUAAGCACGAAACUUGCCCCGAGAUGAGUUCUCCCUGACUCCUUGAGAGUCCUGAAGGAACGUUGAAGACGACGACGUUGAUAGGCCGGGUGUGUAAGCGCAGCGAUGCGUUGAGCUAACCGGUACUAAUGAACCGUGAGGCUUAACCUU
rnacentral:rRNA from 2 species